UAAGACAUGCAAGUCGAACGGGAUAUUAUUUGUAGCAAUACAAAUAAUGUUCAGUGGCGCAAGGGUGCGUAACACGUGGGCAACCUGCCCGAGAAAGUGGGAUAGCUCGCCGAAAGGCGAAUUAAUACCGCAUGUGGCUAGUGAGGACAUCCUCACAACGCUAAAGAUGGAGCAAUCUAUCGCUCUCGGAUGGGCCCGCGGCCUAUCAGCUAGUUGGUGAGGUAACGGCUCACCAAGGCUAUGACGGGUAGCUGGUCUGAGAGGACGACCAGCCACACUGGAACUGAGACACGGUCCAGACACCUACGGGUGGCAGCAGUCGAGAAUUUUUCUCAAUGGGGGAAACCCUGAAGGAGCGACGCCGCGUGAAGGAUGAAGGUCUUCGGAUCGUAAACUUCUGUCAUUAGGGAACAAAGCUUUCGGUUAACUGCCGACGAGCCUGAUAGUACCUGAAGAGGAAGGGACGGCUAACUCUGUGCCAGCAGCCGCGGUAAUACAGAGGUCCCAAGCGUUGUUCGGAUUUAUUGGGCGUAAAGGGUGCGUAGGCGGUUGCCUAAGUCAGAUGUGAAAUCCCGGGGCUCAACCUCGGAACUGCAUUUGAUACUGGGUGACUUGAGUACUGGAGGGGAGACUGGAAUUUACGGUGUAGCAGUGAAAUGCGUAGAUAUCGUAAGGAAGACCAGUGGCGAAGGCGAGUCUCUGGACAGUUACUGACGCUGAGGCACGAAGGCUAGGGGAGCAAACGGGAUUAGAUACCCCGGUAGUCCUAGCAGUAAACGGUGCACGUUUGGUGUAGGAGGAUUCGACCCCUUCUGUGCCGGAGCUAACGCGUUAAACGUGCCGCCUGGGAAGUACGAUCGCAAGAUUAAAACUCAAAGAAAUUGACGGGGGCCCGCACAAGCGGUGGAGUAUGUGGCUUAAUUCGAUGCAACGCGAAGAACCUUACCAGGGUUUGACAUGCACUGUGUCGGCGAUGAAAGUCGCCUAGCUGUAGCAAUACAGCGCUUUGCACAGGUGCUGCAUGGCUGUCGUCAGCUCG
rnacentral:rRNA from 1 species